UAGAUUUGAUCUUUAACUAAUGUAAUGUAAGCAAAUGGGAAAUGUGUCUCUAUAUCAUUAUGCUGAAAUCUAUCUCUUUGUUACAGGCUUUCAGAAGCUGCUGGAUCCUCUUCACUCUGGCUUGCUGAUAGUUUUAUCUUGCAGCAUUAUUCUGAACGUUGCUCUCAUUUGUAUAAGAUGUAAACUGACCUGUACGCACUGUGCAGAUGAAAAGAACAGUGAUAUAUCAAAAGUGGAAUGGUCACGCAAGCAAUGCCAUGACGAGGACACACUGAAUUACGCUGCCCUGAACCUUAAGAAGCCAAAACCCAGGAGACAGAAGAAAGACGGGAAUAAUGACACUCUGUAUUCUGACCUCCGCUACAGAGAUUAUGAAUAAAGAUGCUUCUCAUUCAUGUCAGUCACACAGAGUGUUCAGGGUGUAGCUUUAAUAAUGUUCAGAGGAGGGCAGGGGAGCCAGUGCUUCUGAGACUGAAUC